rnacentral:lncRNA from 1 species
CUAUAGCCUUGGUGGGGGGCGUGGGCGAAGUUCGUCCGCGGGACUCCGAAUUGCACCAGACUUGGCGGUCGGCCUCCGUGUGCCAAAAAUAGGUCACGGGCACAGCCGCGCCCAAAAAUCAGCCCCCGAAGGUCGGGGUCCCAAGACCCCCCUGCGGAAAAAUGGCCAAAAAACGGGUGGGCUAUAGCCUUGGUAGGCGGCGUGGGCGAAGUUCGUCUGCCGGACUCGGAAUGGCCCCAGACUUGGCGGGCGGCCUCCGUGUGCCAAAAAUAGGCCACGGGCACAGCCGCGCCCAAAAAUCAGCCCCCGAAGGUCGGGGUCCCAAGACCCCCCAGCGGAAAAAUGGCCAAAAAAAGGGUGGGCUAUAGCCUAUGUGGGGGGCGUGGGCGAAGUUCGUCCGCGGGACUCGGAAUGGCCCCAUACUUGGCGGGCGGCCUCCGUGUGCCAAAAAUAGGCCACGGGCACAGCCGCGCCCAAAAAUCAACCCCCGAAGGUCGGGGUCCCAAGACCCCCCAGCGGAAAAAUGGCCAAAAAAAGGGUGGGCUAUAGCCUAUGUGGGGGGCGUGGGCGAAGUUCGUCCGCGGGACUCGGAUUGGCCCCAGGCUUGGCGGGCGGCCUCCGUGUGCCAAAAAUAGGCCACGGGCACAGCCGCGCCCAAAAAUCAGCCCCCGAAGGUCGGGGUCCCAAGACCCCCCCGCGGAAAAAUGGCCAAAAAACGGGUGGGCUAUAGCCUUGGCGGGGGGCGUGGGCGAAGUUCGUCCGCGGGAU